AGAGUUUGAUCCUGGCUCAGAUUGAACGCUGGCGGCAUGCCUUACACAUGCAAGUCGAACGGCAGCACGGGUGCUUGCACCUGGUGGCGAGUGGCGAACGGGUGAGUAAUACAUCGGAACAUGUCCUGUAGUGGGGGAUAGCCCGGCGAAAGCCGGAUUAAUACCGCAUACGAUCUACGGAUGAAAGCGGGGGACCUUCGGGCCUCGCGCUAUAGGGUUGGCCGAUGGCUGAUUAGCUAGUUGGUGGGGUAAAGGCCUACCAAGGCGACGAUCAGUAGCUGGUCUGAGAGGACGACCAGCCACACUGGGACUGAGACACGGCCCAGACUCCUACGGGAGGCAGCAGUGGGGAAUUUUGGACAAUGGGCGAAAGCCUGAUCCAGCAAUGCCGCGUGUGUGAAGAAGGCCUUCGGGUUGUAAAGCACUUUUGUCCGGAAAGAAAUCCUUGGCUCUAAUACAGUCGGGGGAUGACGGUACCGGAAGAAUAAGCACCGGCUAACUACGUGCCAGCAGCCGCGGUAAUACGUAGGGUGCGAGCGUUAAUCGGAAUUACUGGGCGUAAAGCGUGCGCAGGCGGUUUGGCUAAGACCGAUGUGAAAUCCCCGGGCUCAACCUGGGAACUGCAUUGGUGACUGGCAGGCUAGAGUAUGGCAGAGGGGGGUAGAAUUCCACGUGUAGCAGUGAAAUGCGUAGAGAUGUGGAGGAAUACCGAUGGCGAAGGCAGCCCCCUGGGCCAAUACUGACGUUCAUGCACGAAAGCGUGGGGAGCAAACAGGAUUAGAUACCCGGGUAGUCCACGCCCUAAACGAUGUCAACUAGUUGUUGGGGAUUCAUUUCCUUAGUAACGUAGCUAACGCGUGAAGUUGACCGCCUGGGGAGUACGGUCGCAAGAUUAAAACUCAAAGGAAUUGACGGGGACCCGCACAAGCGGUGGAUGAUGUGGAUUAAUUCGAUGCAACGCGAAAAACCUUACCUACCCUUGACAUGGUCGGAAUCCUGCUGAGAGGUGGGAGUGCUCGAAAGAGAACCGGCGCACAGGUGCUGCAUGGCUGUCGUCAGCUCGUGUCGUGAGAUGUUGGGUUAAGUCCCGCAACGAGCGCAACCCUUGUCCUUAGUUGCUACGCAAGAGCACUCUAAGGAGACUGCCGGUGACAAACCGGAGGAAGGUGGGGAUGACGUCAAGUCCUCAUGGCCCUUAUGGGUAGGGCUUCACACGUCAUACAAUGGUCGGAACAGAGGGUUGCCAACCCGCGAGGGGGAGCUAAUCCCAGAAAACCGAUCGUAGUCCGGAUUGCACUCUGCAACUCGAGUGCAUGAAGCUGGAAUCGCUAGUAAUCGCGGAUCAGCAUGCCGCGGUGAAUACGUUCCCGGGUCUUGUACACACCGCCCGUCACACCAUGGGAGUGGGUUUUACCAGAAGUGGCUAGUCUAACCGCAAGGAGGACGGUCACCACGGUAGGAUUCAUGACUGGGGUGAAGUAGGAACAAGGUA
rnacentral:rRNA from 1 species